UCGGGAAUUUUGGGCAAUGGGCGAAAGCCUGACCCAGCAACGCCGCGUGAAGGAUGAAGUAUUUCGGUAUGUAAACUUCGUAAGAAUAGGAAGAAUAAAUGACGGUACUAUUUGUAAGGUCCGGCUAACUACGUGCCAGCAGCCGCGGUAAUACGUAGGGACCAAGCGUUGUUCGGAUUUACUGGGCGUAAAGGGCGCGUAGGCGGUGUGUCAAGUCAGUUGUGAAAUCUCCGAGCUUAACUCGGAACGGUCAACUGAUACUGUCACACUAGAGUACAGAAGGGGCAAUCGGAAUUCUUGGUGUAGCGGUGAAAUGCGUAGAUAUCAAGAGGAACACCUGAGGCGAAGGCGGGUUGCUGGGCUGAUACUGACGCUGAGGCGCGAAAGCUAGGGUAGCAAACGGGAUUAGAUACCCGUGUAGUCCCUGAGCGGGCUGGCAAGGCGCAU
rnacentral:rRNA from 1 species